AUAUCAGACAUUACAGACAUUAAAAUAAAAACUGUAACAAGAGACAAAGAAGGACACUACAUAAUGAACAAGGGACCAAUCCAAGGCAAAGAUAUAACACUGUAAAAUAUAUGUGCACCCAACAUAGGAGCACCUAAAUACAUAAAGCAAAUAUUAACAGACAUAAAGUGAGAGAGUAACAGUAAUAUAACAAUAGUAGGGGAUUUUAACAUCCCACUUAUAUCAAUGGAAAAAUCAUCCAGACAGAAAAU